ensembl:snRNA U1 U1 spliceosomal RNA
GGAGCUACCUGGCAGGGGAGAUACCAUGAUCACGACAGUGGUUUUCCCCAGGUGAGGCUUAUCCAUUGCACUCCGGCUGUGCUGGCCCCUGCGAUUUCCCCAAAUAUGGGAAGCUCGACUGCAUAAUAUUUGGUAGUGGGGGACUGCAUUUGUGCUCUCCCCUG